GGAUGCUGUCAGUUCUCGAGAAUUACUACCCACUUGUCUGACUUCUGUUAAACUUAGCCAGUGCUAUCUCUGAAUGACGCCCACACACCUGAGGCUGGUGAUGUAAACUUGUCAUUAAAUAAUAUCUAGACACUUGAGGUGGGAGAUCUGAAGUAAACAUCGAGGGUGUGAAUCCUCUGCUGGGAAGAACAAAAGCCUUAAGGACAACUUUGCAGGUCCAAGUAACAAUUAUCUAGAGGUAUCUUCAUACUUCCCGGUCUCGUGUUAGCUGAUUAAAGCCUCUGUUAGUCAGCCAGAACUCCGCCAUGUGGUCUCUCUGUAAGGGCUCUCUACAAACUUCACUUGGGCUUCCUCAGAAGAAGGUGGCUGUGUUCUGAGGCACAAAGGAAAACUACCAGAGCCCAGGUGCCCCAGAGUCCUCAUCACAACGGGAGGCCUGUCAGAUAUCACCAGACAAUGCUGUCUUAUGUACGCUCUUACUGUUAUUUUAUACUUCACCAUCUUUAUUAUUUCCUUCUUAACCUGAGUUUGGGCUCUUUAUUUAUUGCCUGGAUGCUAAUCACACCUAGAUGACUGUGACCUGAAUCCUUGUUUCAGGCCACACCCUCUCCUUUCAUGUCAUCUAAGCUUUCAAAAUAUCAGGUGUAACAAACAAGUGGUGGGCAAGCCCAGGUCGUUUGUACCUGGCCUUCCCUCUCACUUGCCCUACAUCUCAUAUUAGACUCUCAGCAUCCAGAUGGAAGUCAUUUUCCCAGUGGCCUCUGUAUCGCAUUCUUUUCAUACUCCAUAUUCUUUGGCAGUAUCACCUACUUUCAGCUCUCCUAAACAGAAAUCUGAAAGUUAAUUAUUUCUCAUAUUUUUCUGUGAAGUAAUUCUUCCACAUUUUUAUUCAAUAGUUUGAUCUCUCUUGCUUAAUUCCUUUUGACACACUUCUACCAUGCAAGAUAUUUUACCCUUUGCUCCCAUUGAACCAUGUCUCUUAUACAUGUUUUUUCUCAGGCUUGCUCUUUCUCAUCUUACUUUUUGUUCUGCCUCCAGAAGCCAUUUUCUGUAAUAUGCAGUUGUUUAUGGUCCUCCCUUAAUUGAUUGAGACCACUCCCAAUGCUCCUUAGGGAUGUCUUAAAGCCAUGUGCUUGUCCCACUCAGGCCACCCCCCAUGUGUCCUUACCCCAUGUCAAGUCCACUACUGCCUACUCAAUCACUACUCACAAACAUCUCAUAAAACAAGGUAUUCCUUUGUUCCCCUGAGCUUCUGCAUAUGCUAGUAUCCUUCCCAGAACUGCCUGCCCUCUUUGCUUGCAGGCUAUUUAUUUGUAUUUGGCCUUUCAAAGUCUCAUGGCAAUGUUGCCUCUGACCAGAAACUGCCUUUUUUCCUACACACAUUUACAUAUCUACUGGAGCAAAUAAACACCCAAUCUGUAGCCUGCUAGACUAAAUGGACUGCAUUGUUUCCAAUAUAAAAUAUAACACUGCGACACAAUAGCAACAGUUACAGAGUUGUGCCAUAAGAAUUGUUCUACUGGCACUGGAGAGCUGGUUUAGCAGUUAUGAGCGCAUCCACUCACAAUUGCCUGUGACUCCAGUUCCAGGAGAACCCAUGCCUCUGGCUUCCAUGAGCACCUGCUCUCAUGUGUAUACAGCCACACACAGACAAAAAAAAAUACUCUUUUUUAAAAGAGAGAGUUGUUACAUAACUUUCUGCAGACUGAUGGUCACC
rnacentral:lncRNA from 1 species